AGUGAACGCUGGCGGUAGGCCUAACACAUGCCAGUCGAACGGCAGCACAGUAAGAGCUUGCUCUUACGGGUGGCGAGUGGCGGACGGGUGAGGAAUACAUCGGAAUCUACUUUUUCGUGGGGGAUAACGUAGGGAAACUUACGCUAAUACCGCAUACGACCUACGGGUGAAAGCAGGGGAUCUUCGGACCUUGCGCGAUUGUAUGAGCCGAUGUCGGAUUAGCUAGUUGGCGGGGUAAAGGCCCACCAAGGCGACGAUCCGUAGCUGGUCUGAGAGGAUGAUCAGCCACACUGGAACUGAGACACGGUCCAGACUCCUACGGGAGGCAGCAGUGGGGAAUAUUGGACAAUGGGCGCAAGCCUGAUCCAGCCAUACCGCGUGGGUGAAGAAGGCCUUCGGGUUGUAAAGCCCUUUUGUUGGGAAAGAAAAGCAGCAGGUUAAUACCCCGCUGUUCUGACGGUACCCAAAGAAUAAGCACCGGCUAACUUCGUG
rnacentral:rRNA from 1 species